rnacentral:rRNA from 1 species
GACAGAGGUGCCAAGCGUUAGGCGGAAUCACUGGGCUUAAAGCGUGUGUAGGCGGAAUUGUAAGUACCUUGUGAAAUCCCACGGCUCAACCGUGGAACUGCUUGGUAUACUGCUUUUCUUGAGCCACUUAGGGGCUGUCGGAACAAACGGUGGAGCGGUGAAAUGCGUAGAUAUCGAGAGGAACACCUGCGGCGAAGGCGGGUUGCUGGGCUGAUACUGACGCUGAGGCGCGAAAGCCAGGGGAGCGAACGGG